UUAUCAUUUUUCUUUUUCAUUCUUCCCUUCUCUUCCCUCCCUCCCUCCCUUAUGAGGAACCUGUAACAGAAAGCUCAAGAGGGAAGAUUCCCUAACUACCCCGAGAAAGGAGUUGCAUGACUGUUCUGAAGAACUGAGACUACACAGUAGUGAAAAAAUCGAGCGUUGGUCUGCUGGCUCACUUACAACUGGAAAAACAGAACAGGCAUUAAAAGAGCUCCAGGAAUUGCCUAUAUCAAUGAAAAGAAGGAUGCUGCAUAAGGUCUGA
rnacentral:lncRNA from 1 species